rnacentral:rRNA from 1 species
GAUGAACGCUGGCGGCGUGCCUAAUACAUGCAAGUCGAGCGAACAGAUGAGGAGCUUGCUCCUCUGACGUUAGCGGCGGACGGGUGAGUAACACGUGGAUAACCUACCUAUAAGACUGGGAUAACUUCGGGAAACCGGAGCUAAUACCGGAUAAUAUAUUGAACCGCAUGGUUCAAUAGUGAAAGACGGUUGUGCUGUCACUUAUAGAUGGAUCCGCGCCGCAUUAGCUAGUUGGUAAGGUAACGGCUUACCAAGGCAACGAUGCGUAGCCGACCUGAGAGGGUGAUCGGCCACACUGGAACUGAGACACGGUCCAGACUCCUACGGGAGGCAGCAGUAGGGAAUCUUCCGCAAUGGGCGAAAGCCUGACGGAGCAACGCCGCGUGAGUGAUGAAGGUCUUCGGAUCGUAAAACUCUGUUAUUAGGGAAGAACAAAUGUGUAAGUAACUAUGCACGUCUUGACGGUACCUAAUCAGAAAGCCACGGCUAACUACGUG